rnacentral:rRNA from 1 species
UGGUGGAGUGAUUUGUCUGGUUAAUUCCGUUAACGAGCGAGACCUCGACUGCUAAAUAGAACCAGCAUGGAUCUGCCUGGUGAAUCGGUUGCGUGGUGGCGCUUCACGGCGUCGCUGCCCAAUCGUGGAUCCUUGAUCCCAUGUUGGUCCUUCUUAUCAGGACUUUUGGCAUCCAGUCAAAGGAAGUUCGAGGCAAUAACA